rnacentral:rRNA from 1 species
UGGGGAAUAUUGGGCAAUGGGCGCAAGCCUGACCCAGCCACGCCGCGUGAGCGAUGAAGGCCUUCGGGUUGUAAGGCUCUGUGGGAAGGGGCGAAAAACCGCAAAGCGAAUAGCGAGCGGGUUGACGGUACCUUCUUAGCAAGCACCGGCUAACUCUGUGCCAGCAGCCGCGGUAAGACAGAGGGUGCAAACGUUGCUCGGAUUUACUGGGCGUAAAGCGCGUGUAGGCGGGGAACUAAGUCGGGUGUGAAAUCCCUGGGCUCAACCUAGGAACUGCAUCCGAAACUGGUUUUCUAGAGUGAUGGAGAGGAAAGCGGAAUUCCCGGUGUAGAGGUGAAAUUCGUAGAUAUCGGGAGGAACACCAGUGGCGAAGGCGGCUUUCUGGACAUUUACUGACGCUGAGACGCGAAAGCGUGGGGAGCAAACAGG